AAUAAUAUAUCAUCACAUUAUCAUAUAAUAUGCAUUAUAUGAUAAUAUGAAGAAGUAGAUGUUAAUAUCAUUUACAUGCAUAUUAACGUCUACAUGUCGAAGCACGAAAUAAACGACAGGCAUUAAGACGCGCUAUAACGUGACUUAUUAUUCAUAGUUGUGUCAUACUAGAUUGUCAGACAUGAAAACGCGAUGCAGUCAAAAUGGAAUUUUACCGACGAAUCUUUAAUUUUCUAACGUGUACAGUUUUGAAAUUAAUUUUUAAUAUAACGGAAUAUUCGAUUUGCACUGUUAAUCAUCAGUCAGUUGGAUUCCAUCUUUUAUUUGAUGUUUUGGUGUUAGGCGCGGCAGUUUUGGAGUUGAUUAUAUUGCAAACUGCAGCGUUGCAGUUUGCAAUACAACCUAACUCCGAAACUAUGUUCAGUUUUUGCCUGAGGUUAAUUUGAAAAAAGAUUUUUAGUUAAAACAUUAUUUAUGCUGCUCAGACGGCAUUAGCGGUAGCCGGUGGAGAAUGCAUUGCAUCGUGACGCAACGCAUUCUCAGCAAGCAGAGCAGUUCGAUUAUUAUCCCUAAACUCAGAGGCAAACUACAUUUUUUCCGACUUUAUCACCUCUUUUAAGAAUAGAAAUAAGACUACACUCACCAUCUGACCCCUUGUGUUUUAAAUGCGACUGAAAGGAUCAUUUUGUGUUGGGAGUUGCUGAUGUCUGCCAUUGAGCACACACUUGCUGGCCUAUGUACAGAAUUGGAUUUCUUUCAUAGUGGCUAUGCCUAUCACUAAGGUCUCCCUAAGGCUCAUACAGAUUUUAAGACUUACCCAAAAGGGCUGCAAGGCCCUGCUUCAUCAUAUGCACUAUAGGCUUUACAUCCUACAGAGCUAAUCAUAGCUAAAAAUCAAUGGGGACAAGUCCACCAUUUCUUGGUCUGCAGAAUGAGAGCAGUCAGGAUGAACCAGCUGUCCUAUUAGGAAGAAGCCUCUCCUCCCUCUGCCCCUCUUGUUUGAUGUUGCUAUAACAACUGGUAACAGCUGAGAAAAGAUAGUAUGAAUUGCCUGACAACUUGUGUACUGAAAGAUCAGACAAGACAACCCAACCAAAAGUGAGGUUCAAUGCUGAUGGGUCCUUCAGCUACAGGAGGACCCUUGAAAAGUCAGCACAACCAUGAUAAAGUUGAAGGAGGCUGGAUGCAAAUAUAGCUCCACUCAGCUAAAGGUCCUUGCAAUGUAUCUUCAGCUCUGACAGCACCUAGAUUUCAGAUAACUUUUGCUACUACUGGCAGGGAAGGGCACUCAAGGCAUUUAUUUUCCACUAACAUUGUCAUACAAUCACAUGUAAUCAGGAGAGGUAUGACAAAUCUCCAUUUCAUACCAGAUGCAGUCUGUGUGGCCCAAAAGAGAACUGCUAUGGGAAAAUAUCAAAUAAUGCCAUGAAUUGACUGAAAUAUCAAUACAUAAGCAUUAAAUGCAGUAACUAAAUUUAUUCUAAAAUGAAACAUAUCUUAAAGCAUCAAAAGAAAUGUUUUUGAUCCAUAUUGGAUCCUCUUCAGUCUCUAAU
rnacentral:lncRNA from 1 species